rnacentral:rRNA from 1 species
UACGGGGGGGGCAAGCGUUGUUCGGAAUUACUGGGCGUAAAGGGCUCGUAGGUGGCCAACUAAGUCAGACGUGAAAUCCCUCGGCUUAACCGGGGAACUGCGUCCGAUACUGGCAGGCUUGAAUCCGGGAGAGGGAUGCGGAAUUCCAGGUGUAGCGGUGAAAUGCGUAGAUAUCUGGAGGAACACCGGUGGCGAAGGCGGCAUCCUGGACCGGUAUUGACGCUGAGGCGCGAAAGCCAGGGGAGCAAAGCGGG